CCACGCCGUAAACGAUGUCGACUUGGAGGUUGUGCCCUUGAGGCGUGGCUUCCGGAGCUAACGCGUUAAGUCGACCGCCUGGGGAGUACGGCCGCAAGGUUAAAACUCAAAUGAAUUGACGGGGGCCCGCACAAGCGGUGGAGCAUGUGGUUUAAUUCGAAGCAACGCGAAGAACCUUACCUGAUCUUGACAUCCUUCUGACCGGACAGUAAUGUGUCCUUUCCUUCGGGACAGAAGUGACAGGUGGUGCAUGGUUGU
rnacentral:rRNA from 1 species